rnacentral:rRNA from 1 species
UUCAGGUGGGGAUAACGUAGCGAAAGUUACGCUAAUACCGCAUAUUCUGUGAGCAGGAAAGCAGGGGAUCGCAAGACCUUGCGCUGAUUGAGCGGCCGAUAUCAGAUUAGCUAGUUGGUGAGGUAAAGGCUCACCAAGGCGACGAUCUGUAGCGGGUCUGAGAGGAUGAUCCGCCACACUGGAACUGAGACACGGUCCAGACUCCUACGGGAGGCAGCAGUGGGGAAUUUUGGACAAUGGGGGCAACCCUGAUCCAGCCAUGCCGCGUGAGUGAAGAAGGCCUUCGGGUUGUAAAGCUCUUUCGGCCGGGAAGAAAUCGCAUGGGCUAAUACCCUGUGCGGAUGACGGUACCGGCAUAAGAAGCACCGGCUAACUACGUG